UAGGCCUGACAUUUAUUUUGCAGUCCAGCAUCUGAGUCAAUUCCUCAAAUGCCCCAGACUUCCCCAUAUGGCUGUUGCCCUGUAUGUUCUGCGAUACCUUAAGGGCACUCCCUCCUUGGGUUUAUUUUACUCUGCUCAUGCUGCUUUUUCUGUUACUGGGUAUUCUGAUAGUGACUGGGCGGCUUGCCCUGAUACUAGGCGCUCUGUUACUGGUUUUUGUGUGCUCUUGGGUGGCUGUUUGAUCAGUUGGAAAUCGAAGAAACAGCCUGUUGUUUCUCUCUCCUCUGCUGAGGCAGAAUAUCGAGCCCUUAGCAAGUUGCUGAGUUGACUUAGCUCUCUCGUUUAUUGGUUGACCUUGGGGUAUCUGUUUCCUCUCCUAUUUCUGUAUAUUGUGAUAGUAUGGCUGCUUUUCAUAUUGCUAACAAUCCUGUUUUUCAUGAACGUACCAAACAUAUCGAGGUGGAUUGCCAUUUUGUUCGGGACUUGCUACUUUCUGGUUUUCUCAAGUUGCUUCAUGUGCCUACUUCUCGUCAGCUGGCCGACUUGCUCACUAAGCCCCUGCCUGGCACUUUACUUCUUCCGCUGCUCACCAAGUUGCAGGUGGUUUCCCGCUCCAACUUGAGGAGGGGGUGUUGAGAUGAGAG
rnacentral:lncRNA from 1 species